rnacentral:rRNA from 1 species
GACGAACGCUGGCGGCGUGCUUAACACAUGCAAGUCGAACGGAAAGGCCCUGCUUUUGUGGGGUGCUCGAGUGGCGAACGGGUGAGUAACACGUGAGUAACCUGCCCUUGACUUUGGGAUAACUUCAGGAAACUGGGGCUAAUACCGUAUAGGAUCUCCUGCUGCAUGGUGGGGGUUGGAAAGUUUCGGCGGUUGGGGAUGGACUCGCGGCUUAUCAGCUUGUUGGUGGGGUAGGGGCUUACCAAGGCUUGGACGGGUAGCCGGCCUGAGAGGGUGACCGGCCACAUUGGGACUGCGAUACGCCCCAGACUCCUACGGUAGGCAGCAGUGGGGAAUAUUGCACAAUGGGCCGAAGCCUGAUGAAGCAACGCCGCGUGCGGGAUGACGGCCUUCGGGUUGUAAACCGCUUUCGCCUGUGACGCAGCGUGAGUGACGGUACUGGGUAAAGAAGCACCGGCUAACUACGUG